CGUACACUCCUACGGGAGGCAGCAGUGGGGAAUAUUAGACAAUGGGCGCAAGCCUGAUCCAGCCAUGCCGCGUGAGUGAUUAAGGCCCUAGGGUUGUAAAGCUCUUUCACCGGUGAAGAUAAUGACGGUAACCGGAGAAGAAGCCCCGGCUAACUUCGUGCCAGCAGCCGCGGUAAUACGAAGGGGGCUAGCGUUGUUCGGAUUUACUGGGCGUAAAGCGCACGUAGGCGGACUAUUAAGUCAGGGGUGAAAUCCCGGGGCUCAACCCCGGAACUGCCUUUGAUACUGGUAGUCUUGAGUUCGAGAGAGGUGAGUGGAAUUCCGAGUGUAGAGGUGAAAUUCGUAGAUAUUCGGAGGAACACCAGUGGCGAAGGCGGCUCACUGGCUCGAUACUGACGCUGAGGUGCGAAAGCGUGGGGAGCAAACAGGAUUAGAAACCCGAGUAGUCCCA
rnacentral:rRNA from 1 species